GAUGAACGCUGGCGGCGUGCCUAAUACAUGCGAGUCGAGCGAACAGAUGAGGAGCUUGCUCCUCUGACGUUAGCGGCGGACGGGUGAGUAACACGUGGAUAACCUACCUAUAAGACUGGGAUAACUUCGGGAAACCGGAGCUAAUACCGGAGAAUAUAUUGAACCGCAUGGUUCAAUAGUGAAAGACGGUUUUGCUGUCACUUAUAGAUGGAUCCGCGCCGCAUUAGCUAGUUGGGAAGGUAACGGCUUACCAAGGCAACGAUGCGUAGCCGACCUGAGAGGGUGAUCGCCCACACUGGAACUGAGCCGCGGUCCAGACUCCUACGGGAGGCAGCAGUCGGGAAUCUUCCGCAAUGGGCGAAAGCCUGACGGAGCAGCGCCGCGUGAGUGAUGAAGGUCUUCGGAUCGUAAAACUCUGUUAUUAGGGAAGAACAAAUGUGUAAGUAACUAUGCACGUCUUGACGGUACCUAAUCAGAAAGCCACGGCUAACUACGUG
rnacentral:rRNA from 1 species